rnacentral:SRP_RNA from 1 species
GCCGGGUGUGGUAGCACACACCUGUAGUCCCAGCUACUUGGGGGGCUGAGACAAGAGGAUCGCUUGAGCCCAGGAGGUCGAGGCUGCAGUGAGCUGUGUUUGUGCCACUGCACUCUAGCCUGGGUGACAAAGUGAGACCCUGUCUCAA